AGCGAACGCUGGCGGUAGGCCUAACACAUGCAAGUCGAACGGCAGCACAGUAAGUGCUUGCUCUUACGGGUUGCCAGUGGCGGACGGGUGAGGAAUACAUCGGAAUCUACAUUUUCGGGGGGGAUAACGUAGGGAAACUUACUCUAAUAUCGCAUACGACCUUCGGGUGAAAGUAGGGAAUCUUCGGACUUUGCUCGCUUCAAUGAGCCGAUGCCGGAUUAGCUAGUUGGCGGGGUAAAGGCCCACAAAGGCGACGAUCCGUAGCUGGUCUGAGAGGAUGAUCAGCCACACUGGAACUGAAACACGGUCAAGACUCCUACGGGAGGAAGCGGAGGGGAAUAUUGGACAAGGGGCGCAGGCCUGCUCCAGACAUACCGGGUAGGUAAGGAGGGCCUUCGGGUUGUAAAGCCUUUUUGUUGGGAAAGAAAAGCAGCAGGGUAAAACCCCGCUGUUCUGACGGUACCCAAAGAAUAAGCACCGGCUAACUUCGUG
rnacentral:rRNA from 1 species